rnacentral:tRNA from 1 species
AUUUAAGUAGCUUAUAUUAGAGUAUAACACUGAAGAUGUUAGGGAAAUCAAUGAUUCUUAAAUA